UUCAUUUCCAAAUUUGUAGGAAAAAAACACACGUAAUUCUCUCAUUUCCUUUUCCUUCUCCACAAACCUCUCUUUUAGUUAUUAGCCACAUCCACUCCUUAUCUCCCCACACAAAGCUCAAGGUCUAUAUCCUUAGAAAAGAAGGAUUGGCAAUUUUACUGUGGAAUUUGAGAACGUUGAAAAAUUGAAUGAAGAGUAAAGUUAUUAGAUAAGUUGGCUACAUUAGCAUAUAAGGAGUAACAUUUUUAUUUUCUUAUUGACGACUAACAUUAUGUACUUCCGUUAGGAUCAUAUAAGAAUCUUUUAAUGAGAUUAUUUCAAUAUUAUUUUAAUUGUAAAAUAUAUAUGAU